UAUGUCUGGUCCCUCAUUUGAGUCCACCUGUGUAGGUUCGGACCCGAGGAACCGAGGACCCCAGCAGUGAGUCAGCUGCUCCGGUGUCUGGUCAGAGCUAUCCAGAGGUGAGUGGAAUAAACCUUUAUGUUUUUAAGCAAAUUAAUCGUAUAGUUUUGAGCAUGUUCAUGCAUCAUGAAUGCCAUGUGAUGUUUUAGGUUGUUUGCAUUAGAAUCCACGAAUAUGUUGCAUUGCACAUUUUAAUGUUGAUGUGGAUGAAUGUUGGAUGAUCCAUAGCCCUCGAUCUAUGAUGUGACGAUGUGAUAUGUACGGUACGGAAUGUAAGACCAGUGGGACCCAUUCUACGUUCGCUGGCACUAUGUAAGAGAAAGACCAGGACCCAUUCUACGUUCUGGCACAGUUGGACCAUGUUAUGUUAUGCUAUGUAAGAGAAAGACCAGGACCCAUUCUACGUUCUGGCAUAGUUGGACUAUGCAGAGG
rnacentral:lncRNA from 1 species